rnacentral:rRNA from 1 species
AAUCAACGCUGGCGGCGUGCCUCAGACAUGCAAGUCGAACGAUUAAACGUUUCCUUCGGGGAAGAUAUAGAGUGGCGCGACGGGUGAGUAACACGUAAGUAAUCUACCCUUGGGUGGGGAAUAACAUCGGGAAACGAUGCUAAUACCGCAUAAUGCAGCGGCUUCUUAUGAAGACAGUUUGUUAAAGCAUUUUAUGUGCCUGAGGAGGAGCUUGCGGCAG